ACUCUCACUCACUGAGUGCGCUGAUGUGCCCGGCAUCAUGUAAGCACUUGAACGAAUCCUCUCCUCAGAAGAGCCCCAGGAGCUGGUACCAUCAUUACUAUUAGAAGACAUUAUGCAAAUGAGAACACUGUGCCUAUGAGUCUAGCCAGGAAGAGGAAGAGGAAGAAGGGAGCAGGGAAGGAGAGGUGGAGGAGGCGGUCAGGCAGGAGGAGGAGAGGAAGAUGCUCUCGAGAAAUGAGGAUGAACCUGCCCAGUCCUGAGAGGCUACGGGCGCCCAGGAAGACGACCGAGGAAACUAUCUAGCAAGAGUCAUUUCAACUAAAACAGAAGGUUUUCUGUUAGGAUCCAAACAGAAAAGAACUAUUUCCCCUGAGGAGACAUGGGGGCUUGGUGUCAAACUGGGGUAUGAAGACAGGGGAGGAGGGAGCUAAUGUUUAUUAAACACUAGCUACGUGCUAAGCACUUUA